UCAGUCUCCGCCAGGGAGGGCCACCCUGAGGAGUCUGCGCGGUUUGUACGGCGACAAGUUUCACGUGCUACUUAAUGCUUUGGUUCAAAUAGUUGCUGGGCGUCUGCUCUGGGUGUUGAUUUUGCCUAUUGUUGGGGGUACCUAGUGAGAGAAAACUAUUUUUUUACUGGAGACGUUCACAUAUUAAUGGAGGAGACAGAAUUAUAAUCCCAGAGUAACAGUAUUUAAAAGUACCUGAGGAUACUGGACUCGCCUAAUCCAGACACCUGCAGUAUUAGCUCCAAGCAGAGAAUGGCCUGGGCAAAGGAGGUUAAAAAUGGUGUCUGCCUCAUAAAGUGGUUGUGAGGAUUAAAUGAGGACACUUGUAAAUUGCUUGAUAUGAUGCCAGGACAGAAUAAAUGUUCAAUAAAAAAUGUUUCAGAGAAGUUAAGUACCUUGCUGAAAGAUAAACAACAGGGGCUUCCCUUCUGGUGCAGUCGUUGAGAAUCCACCUGCCAAUGCAGGGGACAAAGGUUCGAGCCCCGGUCCAGGAAGAUCCCACAUGCCGCAGAGCAACUAAGCCUGUGUGCCACAACUACUGACUCUAUGCCCUAGAGCCUGAAAGCCACAAAUACUGAGCCCAAGUGCCACAACUACUGAAGCCCGUGCACCUAGAGCCCGUGCUCUGCAACAAGAGAAGCCAUCACAAUGAGAAGCCCACACACCACAACGAAGAGUAGCCCCUGCUCGCCGCAACUAGAGAAAGCCCUCACGCAGCAACAGACACCCAACACAGCCAAAAAUAAAUGAA